rnacentral:lncRNA from 1 species
GGAAUUAAGUUUAUCUCUAAUAUUACUACAAGUAAUGCUGUAGUAACUAUCCUUACACAUAACUAUCAAAUCUGUGAGUUGUUUCCUUUUAUUAAGCAAGGCUAGAUCUUUUGUAAUAAUUCGUGUGACCAGAUAAGCUUAAUUUAAUCCUGUCAACAAAUUCAUACGAUGAAUUUUAUCUUCUGAUUUGUUUUUUUUUGUUUUGUUUUUGUUUUUAUGACCACACCCGCAGCAUAUGGAGGUUCCCAGGCUUGGGGUCCAGUCAGAACUGCAGCUGCCGGCCUGCACCAUAGCCUCAGCAAAGCCAGAUCCAAGCCAUGCCUGCAACCUACACCACAGCUCAUGGCAACGCAGGAUCCUUGACCCACUGAGUGAGGCCAGGGAUCAAACCCUCGUCCUCAUGGAUCCUAGUCCAGUUCAUUACCGAUGGGCUACGACGGGCACUCCCCAAUAAAAACCUAACUGUAUUGAAGAGAUCGAUGAACUUGAAUACAUUAAGAUUAAGAAGUUCUGUCAUCUGGAGUUCCUGUCAUGGCUCAGUGGUUAGCGAAUCCAACUAGGAACCAUGAGGGUUUGAUCCCUGGCCUUGUUCAGCGGGUUAAGGAUCCGGCGUUGCCAUGAGCUGUGGUGUAGGUCGCAGAUGCGGCUCGGAUCUGGCAUUGCUGUGGCUCUGGAGUAGGCAGGUGGCUACAGCUCCGAUUCGACCCCUAGCCUGGAAACCUCCAUACGUUGCAGGAAGCAGCCCUAGAAAAGGAAAAAAAAAAAAAAGUUCUGUCAUCAAGAGUCAGGAAAGUAAUGAUACUAGACUCUUGUAUCAUAAAAGUCAAGUGAUGAUACAAGGUUAGAAGACAUUUACAGUAUAUAUAUAUAUAAAAUCUGACAAAGUCUUGAGUUUAGAGCACAUGAAGAAUAAAGAUGUGUUUCUUUCUUUCUGUCUGUCUGUCUGUCUGUCUUUCUUUCUUUCUUUCUGUCUGUCUGUCUUUUGUGGCAUAUGGAGGUUCCCAGGCUAGGGAUUGAAUCAGAGCUACAGCUGCCGGCCUGUACUACAGCCACAGCAACGCAGGAUCUGAGCCUCAUCUGAGGCCUGCACCACAGCUCACGGCAACACCGAAUCCUUAACCCACUGAGUAAGGCCAGGGAUCGAACCCACAACCUCAUGGUUCCCAGUCGGCUUCAUUAACCACUGCGCCAUGAAGGGAACUCUGUAAAGAUGUGUUCUUGAUCUGCCAGGAUGGAGAGAGAAAAGAAACAUUCUCACUCACUGUGUCUAUUCUUUUCUAGUUCAAAGAACCAGGGUGGGAUGAAAAGCAGGGACUCGGAGCCUUAGUCAGUCACAGCAGAGAGUUUUGCCUCUGGGCUGAACUUGUGGGGCUGCCCCAUCAGGAACAAGAUGGGGCUGGUGUGGCUGCUCACCUCUCUCUAAGGUGGUGCACUGCCCUCUGCGUGUGUGAAGGUAUCUGGGAGCCAGAAUUGUGAAUGACUUUUUUAAUUCUCUAAUUUUGUAAAGCCAUGUUUUAAAAAAUUGAAAAUGAACAUGUAUUAUUUUCAAAAUUAGAAAACAAAAUUCUAAGCCUUAUAAUAAGAAUGUGUAGGCAUUCCCAUUGUGGCUCAGCAGGGUACGAACCCAACUAGCAUCCACGAGGAUGAGAGUUUGGUCCCUGACCUUGCACGGUGGGUGGAUCGGGUGUUGCCGGGAGCUGCCGUGUAGGUCACAGACACAGCUUGGACCUGGCGUUGCUAUGGUGUAGACGAGCAGCUGCAGCUCUCAUUUGACUCCUAGCCUGGGAAUUUCCAUAUGCUGUAGGUGUGGCCAUAAAAAGCAAAAAACAAAACAAAACAAAAAACCCCCAAACAAACAAAAACCCCCAGUCCCCCCCCAAACAAAAAAUAACAAAAACAAAAACAAAGAGUGUGCAAAGCAGCAGAAUGGCUGUAAAGAUGUAAAAUGAGGACCACCGUAAGACCUCCCAGCCUAUUUAAAUUCUCCGCGUUCAUACAGCAGCAUCACCUUUACAUUUCUCAUAAUUCAAGACUUUCAUUCUCCCCGUGGGUUCCCCUUUAAAAAUGCUAGAUUCACGUUCAGCUCAGCCUUGUUAGCUGUUCUUAGUCAUUGUUUCUCUCAUGUGCUUUGGGAAACACAGGGGUGAGUGAGAAUGACAGUUUGCUGUCAGGGAAAGCACCCCCAGAGGAGGUGACAUGUAUGCUGGGACUGAAAAGACAAGUUGGGAGUUAGCCAGACAGAGAGGUGAUGGGAGGUCACCCCAGACAUGAGGAAGGACGGUGUUUUCAAAAGUUGAGAGGCAGGAAAUGGUGUGGCAUCUUUGGUGAGCCAACUGUGUUUUGCUGCAGUUUGAAAGGAGUUCUGUGUGUGUGUGUGUGUGUGUGUGUGUGAGAGAGAGAGAGAGAGAGAGAGAGACAGGGGUGGAGGGCAGGAGGGGAUGGUGGUGCCCAUGGAAGACUCGGGGACACACAGAGAGGUUUAGAUUUUUCCUGCUGGUGCUGGGGAGCCAUCGAAGGUGCUAAAGGAGGAUCGAGGUGUGAUCAGAAGCAGAUUUCCCUUCUUUCUCUUUCCCCUGGUCCCCAGCCUGAGGUCAUUGUCUCUAUAAGGAAAGGAUGACAACAAUGAUUUGACUUCCACAGCCACGGUGCUCGUUACUUAGAGAACUGCAGCCCCUCGUGGCCCCUGGAGGACCUGUCCCGCAGCAUCUCUGGGGAGCUGAGGGCAUCAUUGGCGUCUCAGAGCCUCAGGGACUGGGAUGAUGUCAUGCUGUCUGUGAUUUGAGUCCUUUCCUGGGGACAGCGUUCACUGGGCCUAUUACUAGUCAGCCUCGCUCCAGGCAGGGAGAGCAUGCCCAUGGGCCGAGGCAGGCCAAGGAUGAUGCUAUUUAGGCUGAGAUGAUGCCCAGGGGCUGCCAGAGCCCCGAGCAAUCAGCUAGGGAGGCUCCCACUCAUCAGAAGGCAACUGCAAAUCAGAAAGGCCAGAAGCGGGGGUGGCAUGGGAGGCGCCACGAAGAACCGUCCAAAGUGCUCCAUGGGAAAAGACUCUGAACACCCUCGAGGCCCAGAGGAUGCAGAGGUCAUAAGGAUGCACCCAAUGCAUCCUUACGACUGAGGCAUGCACGGAAGAUCCUUCUUCCCCCAGUCCCCUCCUUCAUCCCAUGCUAGCAGGAGAGGAAGAAAGCAAGGCAGAGGGGUGGGGAAGGAGCUGACCCCAGUCCCAGACACCCCCGGGCCAGAGUGGGCAGGAAGUGGGAACUUCUAACAAAAUUGGAAAAUUUGGUGGAACAUACUCAUUAUGGAAUUAAGGCUGCUUUGGGAGCCAAGAAGAGUGUGAGCAGGAAAGGCACGGGAUUUGCCAGGGUUUUCAUCUGGGAAUGACUGGUUGCCUCUCAUCAGUCUUGCUUGUUCAAAUUCAUGAUGACUUUACGCUUAGAAUUCACGGAGUACACUGCAAGGUCACCCCGGUGCCUUACACAUGCUGACCUCUUGGCCUGAAAUGUCCUCCCUGCCCUUGUCCUGUAGCAAAAACUGUUCCCACCCUGAUGCAAGGCAAUCAUUGUCUCCUUUCGGGAUCCCUGUUGAAACUCCCUCUACUUGCUCUUGCUUUCCUUUGUAGAGAGAAGGGCUGCCCCUGUUUUAUCACAGGAGGACAGUACCUACCAGGGCUCCAGCUUUGGGGGAAGAUGCUAUUCUCCUCUCUUUCUCUAUGUGUGUGUGUGUGAGUGUGUGUGUGUGUGUGUGUGUGUGUGUGUGUGUGUGUGUGUAUGUAUGUAUGUGUAUAUAUGUAUGUAUAUAUACUUAUGCAUGUAUAUAUAUAUAUAUACAUGUGCAGUACAUACAUUUAUAUACACAUGAUAUAUAUAUCAUAUAUAAAUGUAUGUAUAUAUGCAUGAAUAGUAUAGUUUAUAUAUACACAUGUAUAUAGUGUUUACAUAUAUAGUUUUUAAAAAAAUCAGCUUUAUUGAUACAUAAUUUACCAAAAAUAAAACAUUAAAUUUGAUGAGUUUUGACAGACACAUAAACGCAUGCAAUCCCGACCACAGUCAAGAAAUGGAACACCUCCAUCACCCCAGAGUUCCCCUCUGCCCUUCCCCAGAAAGCCCUGCCUCCCCCUGCCCAGCCCCAGGCACCCCCGAUCUGCUUUUUGUCACUGCAGAUUGAGUUU